rnacentral:lncRNA from 1 species
UUUUUCUGAUGAAAAAAUUGAUUCCAUUCCACUUAAAUGAAAACAAACAGAAAAGGGCAAAAAAAAGAAGAAAAGAUUUCUAUAAUUCCAGAAAUUAAAUUACGUAUGCAGAUAGGAGACAAAGUGUUAGUUAUCGAAUUCACCCCAUAAAAAAAAAAAAUUCCGAGUUUAACCUUACUUUCCUUGAGCGUUUUCAUUGCAAUCUCUCUAACAAAUUUCUCUUCUUUCCUCCUCCUGCUCUUCGGCAAACGUUGUCCAUUUGCUCUCUUUCUUCUCUCUUCUUUCCUUCCAUGAGCCAAAGAAACUGAAGCCAAGACUCCAUGCAUGCCCAUUUGCUCUGUCAUUGUUCUUCUUCGGGUACCCAUACACCACAUCAACCCUAAGAAAGCACUUCACACACAUUAAUUACCAUGAUCAGCACCCAAACUCUCUUGUAUAUAAUUCCCAUUAACUUGAAAAACAAACAACAAAAGCAAAGGAAUUAGAGAAACACCAGCUUUCUUCUCUACCCUCGCAGUUGCUUC